CUGAGUUGAAAAACUCCCAAACCAUUGUGAACCUUACCUAUCGUUGCUUCGGCGGAUCCGCCCCGGCGCUCUCGCGACCGGAACCAGGCGCCCGCCGGGGGAAAACCAAAAACCUUUGCAUCUCUGUGGAUUAUCUGAGUGGCGAAAGCACAAAUACAAUCA
rnacentral:misc_RNA from 1 species